rnacentral:rRNA from 1 species
AUAACCCACGAUCAACCUUACCACCCUUUGCCAUUCAGCCUAUAUACCGCCGUCUCAAGCUUACCUUAUGAAAGCUAAAAAGUAAGCAAAAUAGCUCCUACAGCUAGAA